AUUGAACGCUGGCGGCAGGCCUAACACAUGCAAGUCGAGCGAGCGGCGGACGGGUGAGUAAUGUAUGGGGAUCUGCCCGAUAGAGGGGGAUAACUACUGGAAACGGUGGCUAAUACCCCAUACUAUCAGAUGAACCCAUAUGGGAUUAGCUAGUAGGUGGGGUAAAGGCUCACCUAGGCGACGAGCUCUAGCUGGUCUGAGAGGAUGAGCAGCAACACUGGAAUUGAGACAAGGCCCAGACCCCUACGGGAGGCAGCAGUGGGGAAUAUUGCACAAUGGGCGCAAGCCUGAUGCAGCCAUGCCGCGUGGAUGAAGAAGGCCUUAGGGUUGUAAAGUACUUUCAGCGGGGAGGCGUUACCCGAAGAAGAAGCACCGGCUAACUCCGUGCCAGCAGCCGCGGUAAUUC
rnacentral:rRNA from 1 species